AGUGAACGCUGGCGAUAGGCCUAACACAUGCAAGUCGAACGGCAGCACAGUAAGAGCUUGCUCUUACGGGUGGCGAGUGGCGGACGGGUGAGGAAUACAUCGGAAUCUACUUUUUCGUGGGGGAUAACGUAGGGAAACUUACGCUAAUACCGCAUACGACCUACGGGUGAAAGCAGGGGAUCUUCGGACCUUGCGCGAUUGAAUGAGCCGAUGUCGGAUUAGCUAGUUGGCGGGGUAAAGGCCUACCAAGGCGACGAUCCGUAGCUGGUCUGAGAGGAUGAUCAGCCACACUGGAACUGAGACACGGUCCAGACUCCUACGGGAGGCAGCAGUGGGGAAUAUUGGACAAUGGGCGCAAGCCUGAUCCAGCCAUACCGCGUGGGUGAAGAAGGCCUUCGGGUUGUAAAGCCCUUUUGUUGGGAAAGAAAAGCAGCAGGUUAAUACCCCGCUGUUCUGACGGUACCCAAAGAAUAAGCACCGGCUAACUUCGUG
rnacentral:rRNA from 1 species